UCUUCAUCUGGGCAUAACUUUAACUUUCACUCACUCUUCCUGCAGCUGCACUGGCUUUCUAUAAAGCUGUUCCUUCCAUCUCAUAAUGGUCACGUCUAAGUAGGACCAUUUCCCUCGUCCUCCUUUGGAGGGUCGGCCUUGGAGCUUCUCUCUCAAAUAGCGUAGUUCAUUGUCAUUCAACCACCGUUUAUUGAGCGCUUCUCUAUGCCAGGCAGCGUGUUGAGUGCUGGCUCGGGUAUAAAUAUAGGAAGACCAGUGUCCUUUCCUAGGGAACUUACAGUCAGCAGAUGAGCCUUUCCUAUCUGACUCUUAUUUUCUGGUUCCCACAGUCCAUCCAAACCGAAUGUUCCUCCCGGUCACCCUGUCUGCUUGGUUAUCCCUAGUUAAACCUCAAGACAUUAGUUGACAGCAAUGUCUGAGUAUCUGAAGGGAGUUUCUACCACAGUCUUCUGUGGUUUCCCUGGAAACUUCCUUAUCAGAACUUCUGCUGCUUUCAGCAACAUCCUAACUCGGCCUCUCUGGCCAGCAGGCUCCACGAUGGCUUUUGUGGUACGUUGCUGACACCCAUGUUAGAUGAUUCUCGUUCAUGGAAGGAAGCAGAUAAUGAACAAAGUGUCUCUGUGAUGCCAAACAUCUGGACGGAAAGCAAGAAGGCUUCGAGAAUCCUUUGCAAAGAUUGUUUUUCUCACCCAUCCAUUCAUUCAUUCAAAAAAACAUUUAUCAGGUAUGUAUUGUAGGCUCCCCAAAGAGCUUAGUAGGGGAGGA
rnacentral:lncRNA from 1 species